rnacentral:rRNA from 1 species
UAGGGAAUCUUCCGCAAUGGGCGAAAGCCUGACGGAGCAACGCCGCGUGAGUGAUGAAGGUCUUCGGAUCGUAAAACUCUGUUAUUAGGGAAGAACAAAUGUGUAAGUAACUAUGCACAUCUUGACGGUACCUAAUCAGAAAGCCACGGCUAACUACGUGCCAGCAGCCGCGGUAAUACGUAGGUGGCAAGCGUUAUCCGGAAUUAUUGGGCGUAAAGCGCGCGUAGGCGGUUUUUUAAGUCUGAUGUGAAAGCCCACGGCUCAACCGUGGAGGGUCAUUGGAAACUGGAAAACUUGAGUGCAGAAGAGGAGAGUGGAAUUCCAUGUGUAGCGGUGAAAUGCGUAGAUAUAUGGAGGAACACCAGUGGCGAAGGCGACUCUCUGGUCUGUAACUGACGCUGAGGCUCGAAAGCGUGGGUAGCAAACAGG